GUAAGCUACUAAGAGCGAAUGGUGGAUGCCUUGACUGGUAAAGGCGAUGAAGGACGUACUAGACUGCGAUAAGCUACGGGGAGCUGUCAAGAAGCUUUGAUCCGUAGAUUUCCGAAUGGGGCAACCCAAUGUAUAGAGAUAUACAUUACCUAUAUAGGAGCGAACGAGGGGAAUUGAAACAUCUUAGUACCCUCAGGAAAAGAAAUCAAUAGAGAUUGCGUCAGUAGCGGCGAGCGAAAGCGCAAGAGGGCAAACCCAGUGCUUGCACUGGGGGUUGUAGGACUGCAAUGUGCAAGAGGUAAGUUUAGCAGAACAUUCUGGAAAGUAUAACCAUAGAGGGUGAUAGUCCCGUAUGCGAAAAACAAACCUUAGCUAGCAGUAUCCUGAGUAGGGCGGGACACGAGGAAUCCUGUCUGAAUCCGGGUCGACCACGAUCCAACCCUAAAUACUAAUACCAGAUCGAUAGUGCACAAGUACCGUGAGGGAAAGGUGAAAAGAACUGAGGUGAUCAGAGUGAAAUAGAACCUGAAACCAUUUGCUUACAAUCAUUCAGAGCCCUAUGUAGCAAUACAGGGUGAUGGACUGCCUUUUGCAUAAUGAGCCUGCGAGUUGUGGUGUCUGGCAAGGUUAAGCAAACGCGAAGCCGUAGCGAAAGCGAGUCUGAAUAGGGCGCUUAGUCAGAUGCUGCAGACCCGAAACGAAGUGAUCUAUCCAUGAGCAAGUUGAAGCUAGUGUAAGAACUAGUGGAGGACUGAACCCAUAGGCGUUGAAAAGCCCCGGGAUGACUUGUGGAUAGGGGUGAAAGGCCAAUCAAACUUCGUGAUAGCUGGUUCUCUCCGAAAUAUAUUUAGGUAUAGCGUUGUGUCGUAAUAUAAGGGGGUAGAGCACUGAAUGGGCUAGGGCAUACACCAAUGUACCAAACCCUAUCAAACUCCGAAUACCUUAUAUGUAAUCACAGCAGUCAGGCGGCGAGUGAUAAAAUCCGUCGUCAAGAGGGAAACAACCCAGACUACCAGCUAAGGUCCCUAAAUCUUACUUAAGUGGAAAACGAUGUGAAGUUACUUAAACAACCAGGAGGUUGGCUUAGAAGCAGCCAUCCUUUAAAGAAAGCGUAAUAGCUCACUGGUCUAGUGAUUUUGCGCGGAAAAUAUAACGGGGCUAAAGUAAGUACCGAAGCUGUAGACUUGCACACAACUUAGAUUAUUUAAGUUUAGAAUAUGAGAAACUAAGUUAUAUGUUUAGUUAUAUUUUUACUGAUUUUUAUAGAGUAAAGAUAGAAAUAAAACUUAGUAAAAUCAGUAAAAAUAUUCUUAGACUAAAGUUAAGUAGUUUAAGUUGUGUGCAAGUGGUAGGAGAGCGUUCUAUUUGCGUCGAAGGUAUACCGGUAAGGAGUGCUGGAGCGAAUAGAAGUGAGCAUGCAGGCAUGAGUAGCGAUAAUUAAUGUGAGAAUCAUUAACGCCGUAAACCCAAGGUUUCCUACGCGAUGCUCGUCAUCGUAGGGUUAGUCGGGUCCUAAGUCGAGUCCGAAAGGGGUAGACGAUGGCAAAUUGGUUAAUAUUCCAAUACCAACAUUAGUGUGCGAUGGAAGGACGCUUAGGGCUAAGGGGGCUAGCGGAUGGAAGUGCUAGUCUAAGGUCGUAGGAGGUUAUACAGGCAAAUCCGUAUAACAAUACUCCGAGAACUGAAAGGCUUUUUGAAGUCUUCGGAUGGAUAGAAGAACCCCUGAUGCCGUCGAGCCAAGAAAAGUUUCUAAGUUUAGCUAAUGUUGCCCGUACCGUAAACCGACACAGGUGGGUGGGAUGAGUAUUCUAAGGCGCGUGGAAGAACUCUCUUUAAGGAACUCUGCAAAAUAGCACCGUAUCUUCGGUAUAAGGUGUGGUUAGCUUUGUAUUAGGAUUUACUCCGAAAGCAAGGAAACUUACAACAAAGAGUCCCUCCCGACUGUUUACCAAAAACACAGCACUCUGCUAACUCGUAAGAGGAUGUAUAGGGUGUGACGCCUGCCCGGUGCUCGAAGGUUAAUUGAUGGGGUUAGCAUUAGCGAAGCUCUUGAUCGAAGCCCGAGUAAACGGCGGCCGUAACUAUAACGGUCCUAAGGUAGCGAAAUUCCUUGUCGGUUAAAUACCGACCUGCAUGAAUGGCGUAACGAGAUGGGAGCUGUCUCAAAGAGGGAUCCAGUGAAAUUGUAGUGGAGGUGAAAAUUCCUCCUACCCGCGGCAAGACGGAAAGACCCCGUGGACCUUUACUACAGCUUGACACUGCUACUUGGAUAAGAAUGUGCAGGAUAGGUGGGAGGCUUUGAGUAUAUGACGCCAGUUGUAUAUGAGCCAUUGUUGAGAUACCACUCUUUCUUAUUUGGGUAGCUAACCAGCUUGAGUUAUCCUCAAGUGGGACAAUGUCUGGUGGGUAGUUUGACUGGGGCGGUCGCCUCCCAAAUAAUAACGGAGGCUUACAAAGGUUGGCUCAGAACGGUUGGAAAUCGUUCGUAGAGUAUAAAGGUAUAAGCCAGCUUAACUGCAAGACAUACAAGUCAAGCAGAGACGAAAGUCGGUCUUAGUGAUCCGGUGGUUCUGUGUGGAAGGGCCAUCGCUCAAAGGAUAAAAGGUACCCCGGGGAUAACAGGCUGAUCUCCCCCAAGAGCUCACAUCGACGGGGAGGUUUGGCACCUCGAUGUCGGCUCAUCGCAUCCUGGGGCUGGAGCAGGUCCCAAGGGUAUGGCUGUUCGCCAUUUAAAGCGGUACGCGAGCUGGGUUCAGAACGUCGUGAGACAGUUCGGUCCCUAUCUGCCGUGGGCGUAAGAAGAUUGAAGAGAUUUGACCCUAGUACGAGAGGACCGGGUUGAACAAACCACUGGUGUAGCUGUUGUUCUGCCAAGAGCAUCGCAGCGUAGCUAAGUUUGGAAAGGAUAAACGCUGAAAGCAUCUAAGCGUGAAGCCAACUCUAAGAUGAAUCUUCUCUAAGCUCUCUAGAAGACUACUAGUUUGAUAGGCUGGGUGUGUAAUGGAUGAAAGUCCUUUAGCUGACCAGUACUAAUAGAGCGUUUGGCUUAUCUUU
rnacentral:rRNA from 3 species